UACGUAGGCAGCGAGCGUUGUUCGGAGUUACUGGGCGUAAAGGGUGUGUAGGCGGUUGUUUAAGUUUGGUGUGAAAUCUCCCGGCUCAACUGGGAGGGUGCGCCGAAUACUGAAUGACUUGGAGUGCGGGAGAGGUGAGUGGAAUUCCUGGUGUAGCGGUGAAAUGCGUAGAUAUCAGGAGGAACACCGGUGGUGUAGACGGCUUUCUGGACCGUAACUGACGCUGAGACACGAAAGCGUGGGUAGCAAACAGG
rnacentral:rRNA from 1 species